rnacentral:rRNA from 1 species
UUGAAAGUUCUGGCGGUGCAGGAUGAACCCGCGGCCUAUCAGCUUGUUGGUGGGGUAGUGGCCUACCAAGGCGACGACGGGUAGCCGGCCUGAGAGGGUGACCGGCCACACUGGGACUGAGACACGGCCCAGACUCCUACGGGAGGCAGCAGUGGGGAAUAUUGCACAAUGGGCGCAAGCCUGAUGCAGCGACGCCGCGUGAGGGAUGACGGCCUUCGGGUUGUAAACCUCUUUCGCCAGGGACGAAGCGCAAGUGACGGUACCUGGAUAAGAAGCACCGGCUAACUACGUGCCAGCAGCCGCGGUAAUACGUAGGGUGCGAGCGUUGUCCGGAUUUAUUGGGCGUAAAGAGCUCGUAGGCGGUUUGUCGCGUCGGCCGUGAAAUCUCCACGCUUAACGUGGAGCGUGCGGUCGAUACGGGCAGACUUGAGUUCGGUAGGGGAGACUGGAAUUCCUGGUGUAGCGGUGAAAUGCGCAGAUAUCAGGAGGAACACCGGUGGCGAAGGCGGGUCUCUGGGCCGAUACUGACGCUGAGGA